GACAACCUGGGCAUCAGGUUGGGGAUCAGAGACGGCAGGCCGCGUGGAGCUGCGCCUCCCGCGGGUCGCCCUCCGCGCUCACCCUCAGCGGCGCCGACGCCUCGGUCACCUUUCCCUUGGUGCUCCCGGCCAGGACCUGAGGGAGCAGACGAACACAGCUAGGCUCAGCGGGGCGAGAGGCACCAGAGUGGGUCGCUCUACAGCUUGUCCCGCCCAACCCGCUUUAUGUUUCCUGUCCGGGAAGAUUAAAGAGAGCGUUUUUCAAGCACGCACCGCACCGCAGGGGCUCGCUGUGAUGGGAACCUGAGGGACUCUUCUGGGACCAGAGGUCAACGGCCUGUGACUGUUCGGCUUUAGGCUCCCUCUGAGCCUCAGUUUCCCUGUGAGCUCAGUAAAAGCUUACUCACCACCUGCUGGUUGGCUGCGAGCUCAAACGUGAACCUCUGCACCCUGCGCUGCCUCUUCUGGAAGAGGAGAGAUCCGCGAUUGUUGCGCAGCGACAGCUCUUCUAUCAUCAGGUCCUGGGGCACGCUCACCUUCUUCCCCAGGUCCAGGGAAGGUUCUGCACGAGAGGUCGGGCGAGCGCUCACUACGUAUCCCCAGGCCUUCCUGGCCAUGGCCUCUGAAGCCCUGGGAAGAGCCCGGAGGGUGCUGUGUCUCCCCAGUCGCGCUGAACUGGGGAUCAUCGUUCUUUAGAAUCUUUGCCCAUCGGAGGGGCAAAAAUGGUACCUUUGCCAUCUGCUUGAUGUUCGGUGAAGGUUAGAGUUGUUUCAGAGGUUCUUUGGCCAUUUUUUUAUUCCAUAAUUAUUCUCCCUAGCUCAUUGCCCAUCAGGAAGCUAAGGAGAAAUAGUCAGAUUUUGAAUACUUUUCUUAAAAGUUAGACACAGGCGUGAGGUAUGAGAGAAACAGAUGGCACUUUUUGACACUAGUGAAUGACUUCAUGGAAGACAAUUUUCCACGUGAGAGGGCGGUGAGCAGGUCAGAAUUAGAUUCUCUUGAGGCGCCAGCAACUUAGAGCCUUCGCAUGCAUAGCUCAAAGUGUACAGUAGGGGGCGCUCUCCUACGAGACUAACACAGUGGCUGACCUGAUUGGAGGCAGAGCUCAGGCAGAGGUGGGGACCACGGGGGACAUGGAGGAUUUCUAGAGCUCCUGACUGUCCUUAGUGGUUUGGGAUCCAUCCCCUACCUUUGUGCUUUCCACGCUAGGAAAAACUCAUGCCUUUACAUCUGACCAUCAGGGAAGCUUUUCAGAGGGCUGGAGUGACAGGAUAAUGAAGACCUUGACAGGAGAGGCUACUUUGUGGGCAGCGUGGCCAUGUUGCCCAUCCUCUAAAAUUAGAUACAGGACUAGGAAUAUAGCCCACUGGUAGAGUGCUGCUGGCUUAGCGUGUGCAAGUCCCAGGGUUCAAUCCUCAUCACAGCAAGAAAAGUAAUUUAAUUAAUUAAAGUGCACACAGGUUGAUUGCCAGCUCUAUAAAUGGUCUUUUAUGCUGGAAAAGAACAAGAAGAAAGGAGAAUAAAUAAUGAGACCCCCACACUGAGUGCCGAGCCCUCCAACAUUUAGACUGAGGAGAGAAGCCAGCCCCAGAGGCUGGGAAGGAGCAGUCAGUGAGCUGAGAGGAAAUCUCAAGAGGGUGGCAUCCUGGACACCAAGUGCUGGGUUUCAGGGCUGACAGAGUGACAAUGGAAUUAAAUGCUGCUAUGUCAAGUCGAAUGAGGGCUGAACAUUGACUGUUGGAUAUAGUAACACGGGGCUAUAAUAAUCGUCUUUAAGUUUCUGUAGAGAAUUUGGGUGUGAACACCUGUUGGAAAGGGUUCCAGAGUAAACAGGCAGGGAACAAGUUGAAAUUCAUAGUGCAGGGUAGUCCACGGGGCAACUGGCCCGGCUUUUCCUAACAUGUGAAUGACAUGAAAAUAAAGGGCAGAUGUGUUAUUUCAGAUUAAAGGAGAUUUAAAGAACAUAGCAACCAAAUAACAACACUGGCCCUUGUUUGGGACCUGAUUAAAACAAACUGGAAAAUUGGACAACUCUACUAUGAGAUUGGUUAUUGGAUAUUAUUAAAUCAUUGCUGCUAAUUUUGUUCAGGGUGCACCUAUUUUUGUGGCGUGCAAGGAAACAUCCCUUUCUAUUACUUUGAAUGCAUGCUGAGGAACUUGGGGAAUAAAAUGUCAUGUCCCUUGAUUUUAGUUCUGGGAUCCAGGCAUAAAAGAAGGACCUUGGAGAUUUCUAUGCUCCACUUUUGUGUGUAUUUGACAUAGGCAUGAUAAAAUGUUUAAAAAGAGGAUGGGGAGAAAAAUACAGAUCACUACUUGGGGGCUGUGCUUUCAAGGGCUGCGGCUGCAGCAUCUGUGGGGUCAAGAGGAGCUCUUUGUAAAGAGAUGAUGGCAUGUCUGCUGGUGAUGGGAACACUGGACAGCAACUGGAGAAAGGAGGAUUGUGGAAGGAACAUCUUUGAGCCUAGGGGAGCAGGCAAGGUGUAUCAUGUCCAGCUAGAAGGGUUGUCCAGACAGAGGUGAGAAUAGCCUGACCACCCUCACAGGCAGGAGAACAACAUAAAGUGCAAGCAAGUAGGCAGACGUGGCAGAGGACACUUGAAGAUGCUCUGUUUCAGUGACCUUGUUUUUCCCAGUGAAGCCAGGAGUAGGAUCAUUAGCUGGAAAUGAAGAUGUGGAAGGAGGUAGUGGAAGCAGGGAGAGAGGGGCAAAGUUGUCAAGGUCAGCUGAGCAGCACUGACCAGCCCCGGGCCAGGGACAGGAACUUGGCUACUAAAGGUGCUAAGGUGCCACAGGUGCUGUCACGGUUCAUCACAUUCUGUGGAGCCCUAAGCAGCCACUAAGAAAAGGAGGCAGACUUGUUUUUCCCAUGCUUCCAACAAAUACAAAAAGAGCGUUUUGUAAAUGCUAAGAGCAUACAGAUAGCUACUGUACUCUGUAUGUGUUGAAGUGGAGGAGGAGCACACAUUUCAGGAGAAUAUGAACUCUUAAGAUUCCAUUGGUAAUUAACAAUGGAUAUAUGUGCAUGGUUUUAAAGGUUUGGCAAAGAGACAUGCCAAAUGUUAGCAGGGACUGUUUAUGACAUGCAGAAAGGAAAAGGGCUGGGAAUUGUUUGUGCAGUUUGUUGUUGUUUUUGUCUUUUUGAGACAGGGUCUCUCUAUGCAGUUCAAUCUGGCUUUGAGCUCACUUUGUAGCCUCAGCUGGUCUUAAACUCACAACAAUCUUGCUCAAGUUCUGGGAUUACAGGCAUGAGCCACCAUGCCCGGCUGUAGUUGUUUUUAACAAGAAAGUGUACUGAAUUCUUACAAAUAUGAAAGAACACUUGAAGACAUAAUAAAAGCCCCUCCCCAUGAUAUUCUUAAUUACUGUGCAGAUGAACUGAGCUCAUUAGCUUUUUUUUUAAAGAUAAAAUCUGUUUGACUAAUUCUAUUUCUAGGAAUUCAUUCUUAGGGAAGGAGUUGAAUAAAUAUAUGCAAGGAAAUUGA